UCCAUUCCCAACCGACCAACUGGAGAACAAGUGCAUGGCACGGUAAAUACUUACAUGACCGGGAGGGAUGUGUUUUCCUCACCCAGACAAUGUACGUGCGGCAAUCAUUUACAGCGUAUUCAUCAAAGGUUAAAUGAGGAUUGAACUCACAACAAACAACUUAGAGGCCUCAGAAUUAUAUCCUGAUUACAAGUACACUCCCAUUGAUAAGUUCCUUGAUAUUUGCUUGGUUGAUCCUCCCAAGCCAAAAUUAGCAGCAUUCUAAUUAGCAAACUUGGUAGAUCCUACAAUGUACUUUGUUGCCAUUUUCCAACUGCAAUAAUAAAGAACACAACAAUAAGGAAAAUGGAGAAAUGUUGAACGAGAAUAGCCAUUUUCCAACUACACUUCACUCAUCACCUAUAUAGCCUUUAACACAUUGUGCCUUAGCUUAACAAGAUAGUAUUACAUGCAGAUUACGUAGAAAAAUGUCUUUAAAAGAACAAGUUAAAAAACAUACCAUACUUAAUCAAGACCAAUGUGCAUGACAUUAGUAGCAAAUAUUCAAUCUAUAUAUUAAGAAUUCUGACCAUAUCUUGUAUCUGCUUGGAAAGAAAGCCAAUACAUUGGUCAUUUAAAGCUUACUUUUCUAACAUGAAAACCAUAAGAAUCACCAUACACCUUGUGAUUGACAUGUAAUGAUAGGAAUCAUCGUUGAAACAUCACAUAAGGCAAACAAAACUGGUUUGAUGAGAUGACCCCUCCCUCAUAUUUGAUGUUCGCGCCAACAAACUCCAGACUAAAUUUUAAUAAGGGAUCAGAAAUGCUAAACGUUUGGAGUCUCGAAACAUCUUCUAUCUCCAACUAAUUUAAUCUCAUAGCAAAAAAAAUUCCUCUUCUUAGCAGUGCCUAGGUGACUAUAUUACUAAGCAAAUAGUCCUCCGUUAAACAUAAUCGGUUCUCUAAAAUUUAUCGAUGAAAGGAAAAAUUUAUCAAUUGAGUCAGCAGCUGGCUGUCAGCUUACCUGCUCUAUAUAUAGUAUAGAGGUUCUAAAAGAACCUCAGAUGGGGCUGUCGGAAACUCACAUUUAUACGUAUUCAUCAUUUUUAGACCACGGUUUUGUAAGCCAACUUAAAUCUAGAGACAGAGAUAUCACAAUAGAGAAAAUAUGUUUUCUGCUAAAAAAGUGAUAACGAGAUCAUGACAGUCAUUCAAAAUAAAAUAUACAUAAGAAAGGAAUAUGUUCAAAUUGAGAUGCAUGAAAAUGAAUAAAAAGUUUAGAGAAAUUGAGAUCGUCAACCAUACAGCCCCUCGCGCUACUUGUCAAGUAAAAGAAAUCCUUCCUGCUUGCAGCUGCAUUCGACAAUGAUUGGGAAUCAUAAUGUCAUAAAGACCUGAUGAUUCCAGUAGUUGGUUCGUUGAUUCCUACUCUCGUUGUAUUACUCUCUUGGUUAUAUUUCUAUUACAUAUUCAUAUGCACAAACAGGCAGGGAAACAAUAUCCCUCUUAAAUCUUAUUGACACUUGACUUCCAAACUCAACUGCAUCCUAUCUCAACUGUUGGAUUUACCCAAAAAAUGCAGAGACCUAAUCAAUCCAAGAAAGUCCUGCGAUUUACCCAAAAAUGCAGAGACCUAAUCAAUGCAAAAGCAACAGACACAAUGCAAAAAUAACAACCCAAUUCCAAUCCAAAAACCAACCAAAACACAGCAAACUCAAUACUUUUAAUUUCAUGGGGGUGAAUUAACAGCUCCAAUUUACCCAAAAAUAGAAAUUUUAAUUGGAGAAUAUACAAAUGAACAAAUUUUACACAAAACCCAUGAACAAAAAGCAAAACCCAAUAUCCAAAACACAACAAAAAAAAAAAACCUGAAAAGGGUCGAAUCUAAUCUGCAGAGACCACCUAAAAUCAAGCACAAGUAAAAUCUGAGAAAAAAAAAAUGAGUCUAAUCUGCAGAAACGAAAAGUAAUCGAAAUGAAAGAAAAGGUGGAAGGGAAUCAGAGCUUACCAGAGAGAGAGUGGUGGAGUUCAGUAAAAAUUUUGAGGGAAGAAGAUGAAGGAGAUAACCAGAGCACAGUGAUCUCUCAGUCUCAAAGAGCUAACGAACGGCGUGCGAGGCAGUUUGAGGGAAGAAGAUGAGGGAGAUAACCGGAGCACAGCGAUCUCUCAGUCUCAGAGAACUAACGAACGGCGUGCGAAGCAGUGACUAGCAAUUAGCGAGAGAGCUAGGAACAUGAGGGUUUUGUAAACUAUUGAAAUUACACAUAAGUCCUUACUAACGG
rnacentral:lncRNA from 1 species